CGAAAAUUGGUGAAAUAAAAAAAUAGUAAAUUACUUUUUAAUAGAUACAAAAAGAUACAGUAGAUUUGUUGGAUUCGUUGGAUCACAGUUAAUAGAGAUCCAGGAUCAAACUUUGUUGUAAGCUCUUUCAUGUAGUAAUCCUAAAUCUACAAUUGAGGAAGUUAUAAAGAUCGAAGAUUCAAUAUGUCAAAAACCAACAAAGGAAUUUUUGUAGUUGGAGGUUUGGUGACAGCCAUUGGUUUAGCUCUUUAUCCUGUGGCUGUUCAUCCCAAGUUGUUCCCACAAAAAUAUCGUGAGUAUAUUUUAAUACUGAGCAGAGCAACUCCAAAACUAAUCCCGGCUAGUGAUAUGUACAGUAGCCUGAGAAUACAGUCAUAGAUUAAGUAAGGACAGAUGUGUAACUUCAGUAAAAAAGUUGUCCCAUGGUCGCCAUCUUCCUAGCACAGAAUAGAUACUGGACCAGAAGUGUCACUCCUAUGUGUUUUGGCUGAAGGAAGACGUCCAAAAUUUUUUUACGUGCUAUGACGCCAUCCUGGAGUGCACACGGCACAUCAGCACUCGUAAAAUUUUGGACAAAAUAUCGUCAGAGUGACACUUCUGGCCCAGUAUAGGGAUGCACCGGAACUCGGUUCCGGCCGGUUAGUUCCGGCCGGAACCCCGAUUUUUUAGAGUUCCGGUUCCAGCCGGAACUAGUAAAAAAAGCAUGGCCGGAACCGGAACUCUGUCGUUUUCAGAGAGAUAGAAUAUCAAACGUUUUUGUGUCUAACAAAAGGUCACAGUAGGAAGAAAUUUGGACUACGCAAGGGAAAUGUACACUAUUAACACUUCAUUAUGACGUUUAACGCUUGUCAAUCUUUUUAUUCUAACAUUUGCGAGCUCUCUCCUUGAUGACUUGAAGUGUCUGCCUGUCUGGCAGCGGACAAAGUAACAUAUGACUAUAUAAUGGCUUAAUAAAUUAGUUCCGGUUCCGGCCGGAACUUUUUUCCAGUUCCGGUCGGAUCCGGUUCCGGCCGAAACUUAAAAAACUGGUUCCGGUGCACCCCUAGCCCAGUAUCUAUUCUGUGUUCCUAGCAAGUGUCGCUCACGUGAUUAUUCGUCAUUUGGUAGUACGUCAUUGCCUUCAACACCUUUUCUACAACUUUAAUUGCAUUCAAAAACUUUAAACGUUCAACAAAUGAUGCUCUUGAUUGUUUAAUCCAUAAAUUUCGUGAGUGACGUCACAAAUCCUUAGAGUGUCCUCCAGAUCCAUAGUGGAAAGUAUGCUUUGGCUGCCGCAGAAGACUGCCGCAGUUGACAAGACCAUGCAUUCUAUCCUGCCGCAAUGCCAAUAAUAUGCUGCCGCAGGUAAAAAUUCAAACGACUACACGCAAUACUGCUGACCACUAAACAGUAAACAUUGAAGCCAUCACUCUUAAAAAAAAGAUGUGCUAUUAACUCAACACAGCUUUUUUGUCAAAUAAUUAAUACAUCUUAUGAUGUGUUGAUACAACACACCACUGCCAUGUCACCCAAAUUGUUCCGCAGGUAUUUUCUAAAUUAUUUCUGCUGCAGAAUUCUGCCGUACUAUCAAUUUUACGGUUUUUCUGCUGCAACAUUUUGCCGCAUCAGCAGUUUUUCACCUUUGCCUGCCGCGGGAGAUCUCCCCUUAAAGUGCCCAACUUUCCACUAUGGCUCCAGAUGUUCCCUAACAAUAUCUGUUCGGGUACAACAACCAUCUACAGUGCAAAAAUUAACCAUUUUAAUACAAAAUUAUUUUAAGUUUUAUAAAAUUUGCUUUGUUUACAAAAGUUAUAUUAUGCAUAGAUUGCUAAUUUGUCCUCCAGGUGCAUUGUCACCAGCGCUGUGACGUCAUGUGCAAUGGGUCAUUCCAGAAAAGAUACAUACUCCCCCCACGGAGGAAAUUUCUGCAGUCCGGAGGGGGAGGGGAGAAAAAAUUGUUUCUGAUAAUAGUAAAUGUAUUAGGACAUCCAAAGGGGGUAGGGGGGUUAACUUCCUAUUUUGUUUUCUGGAAUGACCCAAUGGGUCUAUAUAGUCUAGUAGUUUAACCUCAUCAGCUGCUCACCAAUCACCACAAGGGUUGAGGGUAGCGUGUAUUUGCAGGCUAGGUGACUAGAUGAUAUGGGUCAGCGGCUGAGAUCUCACUUAAUAUAAACUUAUAUUGAGUCUUUAUAUGCAUGAUCCCGCCACUAUCCUAUUCCAGGUUGGAAUCUGUCCUUCAAAAUUUUAUGCCGCAAGUUUAUGCCACAUGACAGAUGAAUUGAUGUUACAUUAAAGAUGAGGUCAAAUCUGUUCUGUGCAAUGUGCUAUGCGGGGGCCCUCUGAUGUAAACAAUACCCAAAUUUCGCAUUUUUUUGACAUCUUCUAAAUUGAAACUCUAAUCUAUAUUGAAUUUCAUUUAAAAGCAUAGCAAACCAGAACAACGUUAGAUAUUAACUAAGUGCAUUAUAUUUUAUGAAUAUAGUCUCUUCAAAAUGUAAACAAACUGCACAUCUGCUGAAGAGACUUAGUUGCCUCUUUAAAGGAGAAUAAAAGCUGUAAAAAAUAAAAGUUUAUGCAUGUUGGAGUACGUUUCGCGCAAUGGGACCAGUGGCCACAACUGAUAUACUUAUUUUCAAAUAUCAGUGUUUCAAAUUUUCAGUAUUCAAAAGUUCAUUCAGUCUUCAUAUAAAUAUUGCACAAAAAGAUUUAAAAAUAUGUGAAUUCAUUUGAUUACUAGUUCAUUUAAAUUCACACAAUAAAACCAGAACCUCACCCACACCUAACCCCUUCCCUAACCUCUAACUCCUAACCCAAACUGAUCAGGCCACCUGCUCGCAGGUCAAUCCACGGAGCUAGCGAAUACAAGGCAAGACAUGCCUUAACCACUCGGCUACCAAGGGUUUGCUUGAAAACCUGCGUCUUUUGUCUAACGUGAGUGGCUUUGAGGAAGUCAUUAAAAGCAGUUAAAACACCAAAGCAUUCCUAUGCAUUGAGUUGUUAUUCUGUGGUCAAGUCAUACCAUGCAUAUUCUGUUUUUCUGAUUAGCUAAACAAACCCUGAUAUUUCUAAUUUUGCAUACAUUCGGAGCUCGUGUUCAGUGAGGCUGGGAACAUUUCCACUAAAAAACGCAGCAGACUAGCUCCGCAUGACAACAUCCUGUUUUUACACCAUAUAUAAAUCAGCCAAAAUUAAACUUUGACUAUUGACAUGCGAGACUGAAGCUGAUUUAGUGUGUAUUGUAAACAAUAAAACCGCAUUUACAACUUUAUUGUUGGUCGAUCAUCUUGUGAUUUUUCUCUUGCUUUAGUUAAAAUAAUCGGCAGGUCAAAGCAAAUUGCUGAUGUGGUCGUGUGUUUACAA
rnacentral:lncRNA from 1 species